AGCGAACGCUGGCGGCAGGCCUAACACAUGCAAGUCGAACGAUCCUUCGGGAUAGUGGCGGACGGGUGAGUAACACGUGGGAACGUGCCCUUUGGUUCGGAAUAACUCAGGGAAACUUGAGCUAAUACCGGAUGUGCCCUUCGGGGGAAAGAUUUAUCGCCAUUGGAGCGGCCCGCGUUGGAUUAGCUAGUUGGUGGGGUAAAGGCCCACCAAGGCUACGAUCCAUAGCUGGUCUGAGAGGAUGAUCAGCCACACUGGGACUGAGACACGGCCCAGACUCCUACGGGAGGCAGCAGUAGGGAAUCUUGCGCAAUGGGCGAAAGCCUGACGCAGCCAUGCCGCGUGAAUGAUGAAGGUCUUAGGAUUGUAAAAUUCUUUCACCGGGGAAGAUAAUGACGGUACCCGGAGAAGAAGCCCCGGCUAACUUCGUGCCAGCCGCCGCCGUAAGAC
rnacentral:rRNA from 1 species